rnacentral:rRNA from 1 species
AUUGAACGCUGGCGGCAGGCCUAACACAUGCAAGUCGAGCGGUAGAGAGAAGCUUGCUUCUCUUGAGAGCGGCGGACGGGUGAGUAAUGCCUAGGAAUCUGCCCGGUAGUGGGGGAUAACGUUCGGAAACGGACGCUAAUACCGCAUACGUCCUACGGGAGAAAGCAGGGGACCUUCGGGCCUUGCGCUAUCAGGUGAGCCUAGGUCGGAUUAGCUAGUUGGUGAGGUAAUGGCUCACCAAGGCGACGAUCCGUAACUGGUCUGAGAGGAUGAUCAGUCACACUGGAACUGAGACACGGUCCAGACUCCUACGGGAGGCAGCAGUGGGGAAUAUUGGACAAUGGGCGAAAGCCUGAUCCAGCCAUGCCGCGUGUGUGAAGAAGGUCUUCGGAUUGUAAAGCACUUUAAGUUGGGAGGAAGGGCAGUUACCUAAUACGUGAUUGUUUUGACGUUACCGACAGAAUAAGCACCGGCUAACUCUGUGCCAGCAGCCGCAGUAA